rnacentral:rRNA from 1 species
UACAGAGGUGGCAAGCGUUGUUCGGAAUUACUGGGCGUAAAGGGCGCGUAGGCGGUCCGAUAAGUCCCGUGUGAAAUCCCUCGGCUCAACUGAGGAAUGGCACGGGAAACUGACGGGCUUGAGUUCGGGAGAGGGAAGCGGAAUUCCGGGUGUAGCGGUGAAAUGCGUAGAUAUCCGGAGGAACACCGGUGGCGAAGGCGGCUUCCUGGACCGACACUGACGCUGAGGCGCGAAAGCGUGGGGAGCAAAAGGG